rnacentral:rRNA from 1 species
CCUACGGGGCGCAGCAGUAGGGAAUCUUCCACAAUGGACGAAAGUCUGAUGGAGCAACGCCGCGUGAGUGAAGAAGGGUUUCGGCUCGUAAAGCUCUGUUGGUAGUGAAGAAAGAUAGAGGUAGUAACUGGCCUUUAUUUGACGGUAAUUACUUAGAAGGUCACGGCUAACUACGUGCCAGCAGCCGCGGUAAUACGUAGGUGGCAAGCGUUGUCCGGAUUUAUUGGGCGUAAAGCGAGUGCAGGCGGGUCAAUAAGUAUGUUGUGAAAGACUUCGGCGCCACCGG